rnacentral:rRNA from 1 species
AUACGUAGGGGGCUAGCGUUAUCCGGAAUUAUUGGGCGUAAAGAGGGAGCAGGCGGCAGCAAGGGUCUGUGGUGAAAGCCUGAAGCUUAACUUCAGUAAGCCAUAGAAACCAGGCAGCUAGAGUGCAGGAGAGGAUCGUGGAAUUCCAUGUGUAGCGGUGAACUGCGUGAAUAUAUGGAGGAACACCAGUGGCGAAGGCGACAAUCUGGCCUGCAACUGACGCUCAGUCCCGAAAGCGUGGGGAGCAAAUAGGAUUAGAUACCCUAGUAGUCCACGCCGUAAACGAUGAGUACUAAGUGUUGGAUGUCAAAGUUCAGUGCUGCAGUUAACGCAAUAAGUACUCCGCCUGAGUAGUACGUUCGCAAGAAUGAAACUCAAAUGAAUUGACGGGG